rnacentral:lncRNA from 1 species
AGAUAAUCCAUACAUGUUCCCAGAACAGAGUAAAGAGUUCUUCAAAGCUGGGGCAACUCUGCCGCCAGUGAACUUCUCACUGGGACCUUAUGAGAAAAAAUUCGACACCUUUAUCCCACUUGAGCCACUUCCACAAAUUCCCAAUCUGCCUUUCUGGGAGAAGGAAAAAGCCAAUAAUUUGAAGAACGAGAUAAAAGAAGUUGAGGAUCUUGACAACUGGCAGGCGCCGAUGCCCUUCCUCCACGGUUUUCUCUCCACUGGGCCUGAGGAAAAGCAGAUUCUCUUUGGGAACACUGUCCCAUCUCAGGGCACAGAAGACUCUAGAAACGAGACCCACAAAGAUGAACUCCUGAGGAAAAAAGAUUAAAAUCCACAAUUGAAUCCACCACAAAGUGCUGGUAGUUGAAACUCAAGCCACAUUAGGUGACUAAGACUGUUUUGCAGGGACUGGGGAGAUGGCUCCACGGUUAAAGGUGCUUGCUGCUCUUCCAGAAGGAACAAGUUCAGUUCUCAGCACCCAAGGGAAGCUCACAACCCCCUGUAGCUCCAGCAUCAUGGGGUCUCAAACCCUUUUCCUGCCUCAUCGGACAUCCUCACACGUGUUGCGUACACAUGCACGCACAUUACAUAUAAAUAAAAAACAUUAAAAACC